UACGUAGGGUGCGAGCGUUAAUCGGAAUUACUGGGCGUAAAGCGUGCGCAGGCGGUUUUGUAAGCCAGAUGUGAAAUCCCCGGGCUUAACCUGGGAAUGGCAUUUGGGACUGCAAGGCUUGAGUGCGGCAGAGGAGACUGGAAUUCCUGGUGUAGCAGUGAAAUGCGUAGAUAUCAGGAAGAACACCGAUGGCGAAGGCAGGUCUCUGGGCUGACACUGACGCUCAUGCACGAAAGCGUGGGGAGCAAACAGG
rnacentral:rRNA from 1 species